rnacentral:rRNA from 1 species
UACGGAGGGGUGCAAGCGUUAUCCGGAUUUACUGGGUUUAAAGGGUGCGCAGGCGGAUAUGUAAGUCAGUGGUGAAAUCUUCCCGCUUAACGGGAAAAACUGCCAUUGAUACUAUAUAUCUUGAAUGCUGUGGAGGUAAGCAGAAUAUGUCAUGUAGCGGUGAAAUGCUUAGAGAUGACAUAGAAUACCUAUUGCGAAGGCAGCUUACUACGCAGAUAUUGACGCUCAUGCACGAAAGCGUGGGGAUCAAACAGG